CUGGAUUGAGGGCAGACUCCUCACUGCUUUUUACUUGUCCAACUUUUUGUUAUCGUAUUGAUGUACUGUUGUGUUCUUUUUCAUGGCUUGUGUUUUAUUGCUCUUAUUGUUUUAGUUCAGUUUACACUCUUUUCAUUUCUUCCUUUUUAUUGUUGAAAGCUGCUCUAGCCUUAGAUAGGCAGCAAAUAAAUUUAACAAAUAAGCUUUUCAUGCUACAACUUUCCAUGUGGCACUGCAUUUUGCUCUGUCCAUAUCCCACUAUCUUGCAACUGUACCAGAAUCCUUAGUAGUAUUCUUCAAUCUUUAAGAUGUAUAAUUUCAGUGUCAAAUAGAACUAUACGGACAUUCAUAAGAUCGUUUGCAGUGAUGUCAUUUCUUCUGUCAUGUAUUUUAUUUUUUAAUCAUUCUUAUUAGACAAAAGUAGUACACUUCCCCAUAUGUUGUAUCUAACAGGAUUAAUCGUGGAAAGAUAAUCACAGUUUUAUAUUACUGCAAUGUUUCUGAUAAGGGGUUUCCUAUCACUGUUUUUCAAUGGUGAUUAGUGAUACUCAUUUUUUUUUCUUCAAAGUUACCACGACAGGUAUACAUAAUUAUAUAAGCUAUGAUAUCAAUAUAUCCAAACUGAAAAAGCAUGUAUUUUGGUACUUUAUUUGGUACUUUAAGUGUCCAGAAAAAAUGUUUAAAGCAUUUUUAAGAGAUGCUUAACACAGACAAUCCUGUGCUAUCAUACUGCUCACUGAAAAUGCUGUUAUAUGUGCUUUUUUGUAAUGGGCUCACUUAAUCCUAUUCAGCAUGCCCAUUAUAAAAUGUCUCCGUGAAGACUGCAUUUUGCAAUUUUGGAAUGGACUGUAAGGACCUUCUCAAAAAGCAUUUCCAAGCAAAGCAGGGGAUACCUAGGAGGAUUAAUAUUUAGGAUUAAUCUAUCCCAGAUACCAUCUUGUUACCGAAGACUUUACUGAAGGAUCUGCUUGCUCUUUGACAGUGACUUUCUUAUUAACAGUUUCAGCCUGUUGUUGGCAAACUUUUCUCAUAAAGGGACAAACUAACCUAGGAGCUGGAAAAGAAUCAGGAUAGCAUUCCCCAACAUGUUGGACUACCAUUAUCUCAUUCAAGCAUACAAUCUGAACAUAUGGAAUGGUUUUGCUGGGGAAGACUGCAAGAGUGCAAACAGUUGGCUAAGAAGAAGGCUUCAAUCAGGUUUAAUUACAUACACAACCAGGUGGAACCGCAAAUACCUGGAAUGGAAGAAUGGAUGCUGAAAUUUAAUGGAGCUGGCACAGACAGCAAAAGCGACUGCUUUGAUU